CAGCUCCGGCAGCAGAGAAAGGAGGGAGGUCAGAGCAAGCCGCCCUCCCGGAAGGGGAGGGGAGCAGUGAAGGGAGUAGUGUAACUGUCAAAAGGAAAGUUAGAGGUUUGGCGCGCGCGCCAAGUUCAAAUGUAGAGGCGCGCGGAAGUACAGGGAGCCCGGAGGAGGGGCCAGGUCCCAAAGCCCGCAGGAGGGGGGAAGAGCAGUCUGAUUCCGCGUCAGAGGAAUCCAGGAGGGGCGAAACCCCAGCGGGCAGAAGGACCCUGCGGAAAAGGAAGGAGAGAAAGAGGUGGAGCAGCGCAAGCCUCUUAAAUUGGUGUAGGGGAGGGACGGAUUCAGAGGGGACUUCAGCGGUCUAAGCGUAGCAGACGUAAGGCUGCGCGCCUAGGAUGUCAAGCAAACAAUGAACUGCAAUAAACACUUUUGUAUAUAAGAAGACAUAGGCGUUGGUCUUUUGUGAGCUGAGACUUGAGGCAGCCUUGACAGUAAGUCCCCUCUCACAAAACCGCAAAAUUUUUUUUUUUUGCAAAGCUCACGAAGUUUGGCAGAGAUGACUACUGAGGAGCAGAUAGCGUCCCUGCAAAACGCAGUCACCGAGCUCUCCACUGCGGUAGUGGUCUCUCAGAAGACGGUUGCCGAAGCAGAAGCGCGAUGCCAGGAUCUGCAAGCCAGGUGGGAUCGGGCGUGCAAAGAGGGGUUCCCGGGGUCCAGAUCAGAGGGAAUCGGACUCGGACGGAGGGGGGGCAAUUUAGUAGCCCACUUCGAUGGGAACCUGAAGCAUUAUCCCAAUUUCAGAGCAGACGUCGUAUACGCGCUGCAUUUGCUUCAAACGACUUCAAAGAUGAGGAGGAAAAAGUAGGUUUUAUUGUGUCCCAUUUGCAUGGGGAAGCAAGAACCUGGUUACGCAAUUUGUGGCGCGAAGAUGGUCUUGCACGCAGGGACUCUGACGAAUUUAUCAAAGCCAUGGACGCUUGCUUCCAAUCUACCGUUGACGUUGAUAUGGCGCGCCAGGAGAUGCAUGGAUUGCGGCAGGGCAAGGCUACAGUGCGUCAGUACCAUUCUCGCUUUUUUGCAUUGCUGAAUGUGCUGGGCUGGGAAAAGGACUCCCUGGCAGUGAGGGACUUGUUCUGGGAGGGGCUUCAUGGCUCAGUGAAAGAUGAGCUGGCUAGGGGAGACAGACCUCAAACCCUAGCAGACGUCGUGCAGAGGGCACUCACGAUAGGAGUGCGCCACGAAGAACGCCCUUGGCACAGGGAGGAGGGCGUCACGUCCGCCCACCAGCUAGAGCGCCUCCUUUUCCUCCCAGGGACCUGGAACGUGCAAACCUUUCGCCUGUGCUGCAAGGGGGGGAAGAACCAAUGGAGCUGGGUGGUGCAAAGGCUCAGACAGCUGCCGGAGCCUCAGCGUCCGGAGCAGUCAAAGCGAAGCCUCCUAGAGGGACCAGGAAGUGUUACAUCUGUGACAGUGCACGGCACAUGGCUAAAGAGUGUCCCCAGAGGCUCCAGAAGCACACUGCAGCCUUAGCAACAGUAACAGGGGAAGCGUUCCAAGGGGAACAGUUUCAGGGAAACGAGAAUGCCUGGCUGGAGGCAGAGAUGCUGGGGCUCCGCCAGGCAAGUCAGUGAAGCAGUCCCCAGCGCUUUUGCAGCCUACAGACCCCUUACCACCCAAGCCAGUGGUGCAGCUCACUGCUACUCUCCAGCUGCCUAAUGGACUCACCCUGGAAGUCCCCAUUACGAUUGACUCAGGGAGCAACGCAGACUUCGUGGGGGUGCAGUUCAUCAAGCAGCAUCGCAUAGCGCUACUACCAGCCACGCUGCCUCUGAAUGUGGUCACCGUAGAUGGCAGGAAGUUGCUGGGUGGGCAAGUGGUACAACAGACGCCACCCAUGCUGCUGAAAAUUGGGAAUCAUCGCGAGGUCAUCAGUUUCAAUGUCACCCAACUGUCAGACACGCCCAUAGUGUUAGGCAUGAGUUGGCUGGACAGACACAGCCCAUCAUUGGCGUGGUACCAGCGGCAGCUCACCUUUGGCUCGUCCUACUGCGCACAACAUUGCAUCCAGAUCGGCCAGGAGGAGGAGGGCCAGGAGGAAGGGCAACAGUUGCAUCUAGGCAUGGUGCAGGCGGUGCCCCACAAGUACAAGGGGGUUUUGGAGGUUUUCUGCGAGAAGGAAGCUGACCAAUUACCACCCCACCGGCCCUACGACUGUGCAAUUGACCUCUUACCAGGGGCGACGCUGCCGACUGCGAAGCUGUAUUCCAUGUCUGAAGAUGAGAUGCAGGAACUCAGGGAGUUCAUAGAUCACAAUUUGAAGCGGGGAUUCAUCCGAGAAUCCAAGGCAGUGGGGGGGCAGUCCUGUGUUUUUCGUGAAGAAGAAGGACACGCCCCAAAAACGGCUCAUUGUGGACUAUAGGGCCAUAAACUCGAUGACAAAACCCAAGGCUUUCCCCAUGCCCAAGAUUGACGACCUGCUCGCGACGGUGAGGAAGGGGAGGAUCUUCACCAAGUUGGAUCUACGCGGAGCAUACAAUCUAAUACGCAUGAGGGAAGGUGACGAGUGGAAGACGGCCAUGUUCACGCCGCUGGGCACCUAUGAAUACAGAGUUAUGCCGUUUGGUCUCCAAAAUGGCUCCCACUGUUUUCAAGCAUUCAUGCACCACGUGCUAGCAGGACUCCUCUACAAGAAGUGCGUAUGCUUUCUCGACGAUAUUCUGAUCUUCUCGGAAUCGCAGGAGACUCAUGAAAGAGACGUAAAGGAGGUCCUGCAGAGGCUACGGGAGCACAGACUCUACGCCAAGCUGGAGAAGUGCCAGUUCGACGUGACGGAGGUGGAUUUCCUGGGCUACCGGCUGUCCGACAAGGGACUAGCCAUGGACAGCGCCAAGGUCCGCGCGGUGUUGGACUGGAAUAGCCCGCGCAAUCGGAAGGAGGUCCAGAGGUUCGUCGGCUUCGCCAACUUUUACCGCAAGUUCAUCAGGGGUUUCGCGAAAGAGACGGCAGCUAUCACGGACACCCUCAGUUCCAAGAAGAAGUUCACCUGGACGGACCAGGCGGAGCAGUCCUUCAGGAGACUUAAGAGUCUCUUCGCGUCCGAAGACCAGCUGCUACACGUGAAUCCCGGCAGGCCCAUGCGGGUUGAGACUGACGCAUCUGACAGAGCAGUGGGGGCCGUCCUCUUGCAGGAAGAUUCGCAAGGGAACUGGAGGCCCUGCGCUUUCUAUUCCCGGAAGCUCAGCAAGUCGGAACAGAACUACACCAUCUGGGACAGGGAGUUGUUGGCCAUCCACGCGGCUUUCAAGGCGUGGCGGCACUUCCUCAUCGGAGCCAAGCACACCGUGCAGGUCCGCACGGACCACAAGAACCUAGAGUAUUGGCGCACGGCGAAGCUCCAGAGCCAGAGGCACAUGAGAUGGGCGGAGUUCUUUGCGGAUUUCGAUUUCCGGAUAGAGUAUAUCCCGGGAGACAACAACGUCAUAGCGGAUGCGCUCUCCAGGAAACCGCAGUAUCUCGAGGAAGCGGCACCAGUGGCAGCCAGGCACAUUUUCGCACCGCAAGCGUGGGCGUGCGCUUCCGCCGCCGUGGACCUGGACGCAGUACGACGCGCGCUACAGACGGAUCCGUUCGCACAAUCCAAGAUGGAGGAGGUGCGAAGAGGGACAGCAAAGGACGGCGAAUUCCAGAUACGCGACGGCCUGCUGACCCGCAAAGGUGCUCUCUACGUCCCGGGAGACGCUCUCCGCGCGAAGGUUUUACAGCAGUUACACGACGCUCCCAGUGCGGGGUCACUUCGGCAAAGAAAAGACGGCGGACUUAGUAGCCAGAGACUUUUGGUGGCCCCAGAUGCGGGGAGAGGUCGCGGAUUACGUCGCCAGGUGUGACACUUGUCAGAGGUCCAAGCCAGUGCACAAGAAGCCAGCGGGAUUGCUGGAACCGCUGGAGACGCCACUGCAGCCGUGGGAAAGGGUGGCGCUGGACUUUGUUACUGAUCUGCCCAGUUCGCGGGGCAAGACGGCGGUGCUUGUGGUUGUAGAUCUGUUCACCAAGAUGGCGCACUUCAUUCCUUGCGCGAAGGUGGCAACAGCGGAACAGACCGCCAAGCUGUUCAUAGACCACGUGUUCCGGGUGCACGGCUUACCACGGUCCAUCCUGUCCGACCGGGGUCGCCAAUUCAUUUCCAGUUUCUGGCAGAAGCUCCUGGGCAUCCUGAAUGUCAAGAUCAACUUAGCGUCGGCGAGACACCCGCAAACCAACGGCCAAGCGGAGAGGGUCAACGCCAUCAUGCAGCAGUACCUGCGAUGUUACGCCAAUCAAAAGCCUGCAACUUGGGUGGACUACUUACCGAUGGCCGAGUUUGCCUACAACAACACGAAGCACGCGUCAACGGGGGUGACACCGUUCUUCGCCAACAAUGGGCGACAUCCCAGAACCUUCCCGGCGUUGGAGACAACGACGCAGGGGGAGUCGCAGGGAGCGGAACAUUUAGCAGCAGAAUUGCAGGAGGUCCACGAGGAGCUACGACGGCACUUGGAACUGGCUAAACACGCCUACAAAGUGCAGGCAGACAGGCACAGGAGGGCAGGAGAAGACAUCCAGGUGGGGGGGGACCCACCCAAGAUGGCGUUGUUGGUGGAGGCACUGACUUGAGCUCCGCAGCAGUUGUGCGGUUUUUAUUAGUUUUUAUUGGUUUUAUCAGUUUUUAUUCGGCUUUUAUCAGCCUUAGUAUUUUAUCUACAACAUUUGGCAGCUGUUUUUAACUAAUAUAUUCAAGGCUUGAGUUAAAAGCUCAAGUUAAAAGUCUAGAAAAGGAGGAGGGGGAGGAAAAACGCCGAGAAACAAGGAGCGGCUGAAACUGAAGCAUCGGGGUGGAUCCUUACGCUGCCUUCUUGGAGUCUCCUCUCUCUCUGGGAUCUGGUGAGGCCUUCGGGAGUUUCCCUUUUAUCUGAGACCGACCCACGGUGGGCCCUGUGAUAAGCUCCGAAGGAGAAUUUUAUAUUAGUCUUAGUCCUGGUGGGAGUAGGACUUCAAAGGAAUGGUCUGUGUUGCUUAUCGGUAGUCUCCUUGUCGAACUAAAUUGCCGGACUGUGAGGGUGAAGGUGAAGACGCCGACUUACAUAUGAACAGGCAGUGAAAUAUACCCCCACUGCAAGUGCUGGCAGGCUUGAAGGAAAUAUUUAGUUGACGUUAAAAUACUAUCCCCCCUCUACUCGAUAUCUGAAUUAUGGGAUAUGGGAAACGUCUUAGAGAUUCGGAGGAGACAGUCCCCAUUCCCUUUCCGAGAUCAAAGCAAACAAGGGUGGAACCAUGUCACUUUAAGGAAGGGAGUAAUCUACUGGAUUGUUCCUACACGGUAGAAACUCAGAACCGAUUUAACCCUCUGAUUGAUUGCGUGUCAGCACUUAAAGACGAAGAGCGAAUAAUACCUCAAUUAACAAGCAAUGUGGGCAACAGUAAGAGUGUAGCCUCUCCUCAGAAGGAGGAACUGGUCCUUGGCACAGCCAAUUAUAUGACAUUUGAACAGUCCCAUUUAAUAAUCAAAACUUUGCACUGUAUAUUCAAAAGACUAGAUGAUCUUUCGUCCCAGCUGCACAGCCUCCAACAAAAGCUAGUUACUACCUCUCCAGCGUUAGCCGGUGUUAAGUCUCUCGAAGAGAGGAAGGGGACGAGGAGUCUGUCCUUAAAUAACAAACGUACUGACAAAUUUAAAUACAACCUUAACCUUCAAUUAGGUCAUCAAUCCUUGAUUUUAACACCAAGGAAAGUGUGCCUAACUAUACAAAAUGGGGACCCAAGAUGGAGAACUCUGGGCGGUGCCAAGGAACUCCUAAUGGUGCUUUUAAAUAUGGAGGCAACACAGAUUGACCUCUGUGCAGUCCUCCCCUUGUCUAUCAUCAUACAUCACAGAGAGUCCUGCUUGCGUUCCAAUCCACAAAAAUUCCCACUAUCAUAUUACGAAGGAAAGCUUUUGGUUUCGCUGUGGUAUAGCACCAACGAGAGCCUUUAUAGACCCUACGCCUAAACCCCUACUGUUGGAGGCAAUAACCAAAGAGGGCUUAAAAUCUGCUAAACCCGAUCCACCAGUGGCCACCGGAGUGGGUGUUCUCCUCCAGGAGAUGAGUCAUGUGGCCUCCACUCCCCUAGCAAAGAACAAUGACCAUCCGGAAAGUGGCCUGACACCACCAGAAGAGAUCGAACUCAUUGCCUCCUUUGCAGAUUUACCAGCGGUGGAACAAAAAGAAAUUAUUAAUAGACUCGAAUCGCUUAAAACCCAACUUAUCAGGAAGCUCAGCACCAGAAUACCUAUGUACAGCGAGCAUGACAUCCUAGAAGAACCAGUUCAUAUGGAUAUCGCAAUAUCUAAUGCUAAAUGUAUGUCGGUAAUGGAGGAUAAGAUACAACCCCAAGAAGCAACUACCAGUCCUUCCCUCCAACCAGAACAACCCUCCGUGCUCUUAAUAGAUUUACAUGACCGUCCCUUGAUAAACAUACCUGAAGAAAGCAGCACACAACAGGAAAAAUCCCCUUCUACACAUUCAUCGAUGCCAGACCUGGAACCUUCUUAUAGCACUGACCAAUCAAGAGAAGAGGUGCCUUUGCUAAUCUUCCCAAAUAGCCCACUCGCCCAGCCUUAUUCCUCUUUGCGGAGUACUAUGGAUUCAACAGCAAGACCUGUGACGGAACUGAUUGAAGAUCCAACAGGCCACAUAAAUCAAGUAGCCCAAAAGACCAGUAGCAGACCACAGAGAGCCCAAACUUCUGACGAGAUAGAUGGACCACACCGGGUGGCCCACCAAACUCUUUUGGAAAAGGGGGCCGCCCCUGCUCAAGGUCCUACUCCUAGUAGAUCGAGUGGCCAAGUUCAACAGACAGACAACCUUGUAAAUCCUCCCACUCAGCUUUUACGAGAGGUUUUUCAUCAGAGGAAGAUAACUGAUUUUUUUAUUGGCUCCCCUCUUCCCGUAUUAAAGUUGAGCCAACCUUCCGAAUGACAGUCAAUUGGAGGAACGAGGAAACCCCAGCCUUCAAUAUUAAGUUGGAACAUUGCUGGAUGGAAAAGUAAAAAUCAGAUCCAGAAUUCCAAAAAUAUAUUAAUUCCUUUUUAUCAUACUAUUACAAGAAACUUGGGUGGAGGAGGAAAUUGAGUUAAAUGGCUUUGAGUUUAUAUGUCUGCCUGCUAGCCCGUCAACGAAUGGUGGCCGCCCUAAAGGUGGCCUUACAAUUGGUAUCUCCCUUAAACUUCGGGCUAAACUUUCACUAGUGCACGCAUUUCCGCCUUAUGCUAUUACCGGACUGAUCUCUGGUGGAAACUUCUCUUUAUUGGUUACAAAUGUCUAUUUCCCCCCGGGAGGGUUAGCAGCUGAUCUUAUUUCUAGAUGGGAAUCCCUAGAGGAUUUUUACUUUCUUGUUAUCUUAAAUAUCCUAAUGUCCCCUCCAUUACCGGAGGCGAUUUUAACGCUCGGAUAGCCUCAAAUCGGGAGGCUCUUAUAAAGUCUAAAUGGUGGGUCGACCCCGGCGCUCAAACCUACGAUCUAGUAUAUAUCCCCACUAGAAUAUCAAAGGAUGUAAAAGUCAAUAAGGCGGGAGUGAUGCUUUACCAGAUGGCUUUACGCCUUAAUUUAAUUAUAUUAAAUGGCAGGUGUCCUCCAGAUAUACCAGGAGAGUUCACCCAUCUGGGGUUAAAAUCAAACAGUGUUCUUGACUAUGUAUUGGUUUCCCGGGAUCUAUUUUUGAAUGUCACCUCUUUUAAAAUUGAUAAUGCCCAAUUUAGUGACCAUCUUCCCCUGACAACCAAGUUAUGUGUUGACUGGCACCUGCUCGAGCGCUCCCACCCAAUCCCGGUGAUUGCGGAGCCGUCCACUAAAAUAAAGGGGAUUAGAUGGUCCCCUGCCCUCGCCCAUAGAUAUACGGAUUUUAUCCGAGAAAAGUUUCUUGGUGAUCAGCCGGACGUAGGAAUAGUCCCGCGUGAUCCUAUUACCUGUAUGAAUUUUUUCUCUUGCCUGAUAGAAGUUUUAACUCGCUUUUUUACUUCUCCAAGCUAUGGAGUUAAAAACGAUUAUUUUAAAUUUGGCGCCCCUUGGUUCAACUCUGCUUGUAAACUAGCCAGACUCCAUCUACAUACAAUAUAUAAUGACUAUAAACUUUCCGGCGCUCUGGCCUUACCUCCAUCUUAUUCCCUGGCUAAACUCGCCUCCAAUCAGGCCCAGAAAUCGGCCAAACGGGAAUGGCAUUUAAAUCGCUGGCAGACUAUAAUUUCUGCCUCAAAAUCUCAUAACUCCCGGAAAUUUUGGUCCUUAAUUAAGGGAAGAAACACGAAAUACCCCUUAACGGUGAUCCCGGCCCCUACAUGGGAGCAGUUCCUGAGAAAAUAUUUCUCAGUGGCAGAAGCUCCGGCCACUCACUGGAGACCUUCUAAUCCCCUUCCCGUCUGGCACAAUACCGACCCUGCUGAAAUCCUAGAAUUGAUAGCUGAGCUGAAAACUGGUAAGGCCCCUGGGCCAGAUUUGGUCCCUGUUGAGGCUAUAAAGCUACAUUCUGCAUGGUGGGCAGGGAUUUUAGCUAAAACGUUUGACGCAAUAAAUGCCACGGGCUUAAUACCAGGUACGUGGAAGGAGGCCAUUAUAAUUCCUAUCUACAAAAAAGGCCCUCCCGGUGACCCAGGGAAUUACCGGAAUAUCAGUCUGCUAUCGUCCAUUGGGAAAAUAUAUGCCCGUUUUUGCUGGCAAGGCUGAUGAAGUGGUCAGCUGAGGCUGACCUGAUUGGGCAUGAGCAAGCCGGAUUUAGAUUAAAUCGAUCCACAACAGAUCAGGCAAUUAUUCUUUAUCACUUAGCCCGGAAAUACUCGACACCUCGACGGGGCCAACUUUGCGCAGCCUUCAUAGAUUUGAAAGCUGCGUUUGAUAGUAUUCCGAGGCAAUUACUAUGGGAUAAACUUGCCUGCUGGGGAAUAGAUAGAAGGCUCCUGUGGCUUAUCUCCCAACUUCAUGCCGGAUCCGUGGCCAGGGUAAGAAUAUCCCCUGCUGGAGACCUAACUAACCCAGUGCCAGUAAAUAAGGGUGUACGCCAGGGUUGUAUUUUAGCGCCUCUUCUUUUUAACUUAUUUAUCAGUGAUAUGAGGAACCCAUUAAUCGACUCACAAAAAUUUAUCCACACCCCCCGUAUAGCAGAUUAUCGUUGUCCUUUACUUCUCUACGCAGAUGAUGCGGUACUACUCUCUUACUCCAGAGUGGGUUUAAGGAGGGCACUAAAGAUUUUUGCAUCAUAUUGCCGUUCUAAUCAUCUGUCUAUCAACCACACCAAGUCCAAAGUACUGAUAUUUUCAAGGAGUCGAAAAUUAUAUUCAUGGAAAUUGGAGGGCACGAAAAUCGAACAAGUACACAAAUUUAAAUAUUUAGGAAUUUAUUUUCAAUAUAAUCUAGGGUGGAAAGCGCACGUUGAAUAUCUUCAAAACAAGACAAAAGCCCUAUCACACUCCCUCCUCCGUUUUUCUACUCUGAGGGGCCUUAUUCAUCCCUGCGGCCUUGAAAGUGUAUAGCAUUAAAGUGAUGGCCACAAUGGCCUAUGCUGCACCUUUAUGGGCUGCUUUUGCAAACCUCUCACCUUUAGAGUCGCUUCAAAGCCAAUUCUUACGCCGACUUCUAAAACUACCAACAUGCGUAAGUAAUGCGGCUAUUCGCUUAGAAAUGAAGAUCCCCUCAGUGGAGUUAGUUUUAUGGAGGAGAGUUUUGAUUUAUUGGAUAUCCCUAUGGCAUAAACUACCGAACCAUUAUCUCAUUCAAUGCAUGUGGCGGGAUGACUUCACAAAUUUGUGGUCAGGAAAAAUCCAUGCCAAAUUGCUGUCCUAUGAGAUCUCGCCCACGGAAUUGCUCAAACUGGAUCUAAACGCGGCAAAAAGGUGUAUAAAUCAAAGGCUGGAUGAUGUGGAGCUAUACCAAAAUUUCUUAGCUGGUGGUGGAGCCUGCUCCCCGUUAAAUCUCGGCAUAACCCCUAUCUAUCGUGCUCCGUCCUACUUAACAUCGCUUAUAGCCGCAUCUCACCGAUAUGCCUUCAUUAGAGCCAGGUUCAAUGUUUUUCCAACAAACGUGCUGAGACAUAGAUUCACUAAGGGCCAAGUCCCUUCAAUGUGUGCUUGUGAAAUGAAAACAUCUGAAUCUUUACAUCAUGUUAUGUUUAUCUGCCCUAUGUACAGUUCAGCUCGCGCUAGUAUACUAAACUCCAUAAUCCAGCCUAUGGCUGACAAACCAGUAGACCUACAGCUUGCCUGGGUUCUUCAAGAUGCAGAUCCUUAUAUUACUCUACAGGUUGCUAAAUUCCUAACAGCCGUUCUCUCGUACAAGAGACGGAAUGGAAUGUUAGCUGAUUAUUGAUAGUUAUAAGAAUUUUUGAUAUUGACAUCAGAUAUUGAUUUUAGCGUAGUGCCUAAAUUUUUAACUUUAAUCUUAAAUUUCUGUUUUGAUUUGCCAAUAUUUGUCCUUGUGAGCUGUGAAUUGUGUUAUAUUACUUGUGGCUUGUACGAGACCGCUGUUUUAUUUGAUUUGUUUUGUGUGUUGUGCUUUAUGAUGGGCGUAAAGCCGAAUAAACAUUUUGAUUGAUCAUCCAGGUGGGGGACUGGGUAUGGUUAGCAGCCCAGGCGGUGCCGGCCAAGUCGUUAGCUAAGAAGAAGCUAGGACACAAACAGCUAGGGCCAUACCAAGUUGAGGGCAGGAUCAAUCCCGUAGCUUCGGUUGACCCUCCCAGAGGAUUCCAGAAUGCACCCGGUCUUUCAUAGGUCGGUGCUUACACCCUACAAUGCCCCACACAGAUUUCAGGAGCCAGGGACGGCACCAGACCCACGUAGAAGUCACCGGGGGGGGGAAGUCACCGAGGACCCCGACACUCAACGAGGUCACGGAAAUUCUGGACUCGAGAUGGGGGAGGAGGGAGUGGAAUACCUCCUCGCCAGGAAGGUACCCCGGCCAGCGCCAACAGUUGGGUGCCAGAUUAUGCUCUGGAGGAACCUUUGCUUAAGGACGAGUUCCAUGCACUCUUCCCACACAGGCCCAUGCCAGAGGAGUAUUUUGACGACUGGCUGUUUACCCCCACCCUUGCCGGCAGCACCUUCCGGGGGGGUCUCCUCCGCAGAGGAGACCACGCCGCCAUCGAGCCCUCCAAGGGGAUCGUGCUCGGGGGUGGACACGGACCGCUCUUAUUGGUGGGACGAUCAACCAGAAGUGGGGUGGCGAAGGGGGCCUUGGCAAGCAGCUUCGCCUGAAGUAACAGGGGGAGGGAAGGGUUUGGAGGUGUUGGGGGAGGACCCCGGUUCGAGCACUCCUACACUGAACUGGAAGCAGAGGAGAUCGACGUCGACGAACUGUAUCCAGCAUCUACCCCCGCUACAAUGAAGCUCCCGGAACCUGCGCCCGAGCAGCGGGAGGGAGGAAGGGGGGGCUUCGAGGGGGGGAUGGAUGUCAGGGGUUCAGGGAGAGAGGCACAGGGUAGGCAGGAGAUGGAGAGCGAUGGGGAUGAAUUCCAAGCCAGCGAGGAAGAGGAUGACAAUGACUCAAGAGAUUCCAUGAGUCUUUCCAGCGAAUCAGAGGAUUCCCAGAAGGGGCGCCGGUGGUCAAGGCCAGGAGCCCCAGGGGGACGUGUCAGGAGCAGGGGGCCAGCGGAGGAUCCCAAAGUGGCAGCUGGGCGUCAGGACCAGCCUCCCCACCAGAGUGCAGCGAAGGGGGUGGAGUUUCCAGUGUGUCAGGGAAGCAGCUCCGGCAGCAGAGAAAGGAGGGAGGUCAGAGCAAGCCGCCCUCCCGGAAGGGGAGGGAGCAGUGAAGGGAGUAGUGUAACUGUCAAAAGGAAAGUUAGAGGUUUGGCGCGCGCGCCAAGUUCAAAUGUAGAGGCGCGCGGAAGUACAGGGAGCCCGGAGGAGGGGCCAGGUCCCAAAGCCCGCAGGAGGGGGAAGAGCAGUCUGAUUCCGCGUCAGAGGAAUACAGGAGGGCGAAACCCCAGCGGGCAGAAGGACCCUGCGGAAAAGGAAGGAGAGAAAGAGGUGGAGCAGCGCAAGCCUCUUAAAUUGGUGCAGGGGAGGGACGGAUUCAGAGGGGACUUCAGCGGUCUAAGCGUAGCAGACGUAAGGCUGCGCGCCUAGGAUGUCAAGCAAACAAUGAACUGCAAUAAACACUUUUGUAUAUAAGAAGACAUAGGCGUUGGUCUUUUGUGAGCUGAGACUUGAGGCAGCCUUGACAGUAUGGAUUUUUU